rnacentral:rRNA from 1 species
AUUGAACGCUGGCGGCAGGCUUAACACAUGCAAGUCGAGCGGGGACUUCGGUCCUAGCGGCGAACGGGUGAGGAAUGCUUGGGAAUCUGCCCAGUAGCGGGGGAUAACGUUACGAAAGGAACGCUAAUACCGCAUACGCCCUACGGGGGAAAGGGGGGGAUCUUCGGACCUCUCACUAUCGGAUGAGCCCAAGUCAGAUUAGGAAGUUGGUGGGGUAAAGGCUCACCAAGCCAACGAUCUGUAGCUGGUCUGAGAGGACGACCAGCCACACUGGGACUGAGACACGGCCCAGACCCCUACGGGAGGCAGCAGUGGGGAAUUUUGGACAAUGGGCGCAAGCCUGAUCCAGCCAUGCCGCGUGUCUGAAGAAGGCCUUCGGGUUGUAAAGGACUUUUGUCCGGGAGCAAAUGCUGGUGGCUAACAUCCACCGGAGCUGAGAGUACCGGAAGAAUAAGCACCGGCUAACUACGUGCCAGCCGCCGCAGUAACAC